CAUUUUCUGCAUGAACCCUAACGGGUUAUGAGAUUUUUUGAUGUUUUUAAUUUUUUUACAUAAUUUGGAAAUGCCUGUUGUCCUUUACAUUGUAUAUAAAUUCCAUGAUGUAUCGACUAAGAGAAAUGACCCAAAAUGAAGCGCAAAAACUUCCGGUUCCAUUCGUUUAUAUUGAAAGUGAAGUAGGUUUUCUCCUUCUCCUGUAAAGUUACCAUUUUGGAAGUCCUAAAGCAGGUAGCCUUCAAAUUGUCUUACCAAAUAUUUAGUGUUGAACUCCAGGGGAGCAACAGGUUUUGAUGAAUGCAAAUGAUUUGGCAUAUAAAUGAUGCAUUCUGUAAAAAUCAGAUCACAGUUGAUGGCAGAUUUCCGCAAGGCUUCUUCUCCUGGGCAGAUAUUGAAAUGAGUCAUCGCAAGAUCCGCCCCUUACAAGAGGUUUUGUGCUAUAUGGACAAAACUCCCAUUUCCCUAAACUGUAUCCUGGUUUGUUUCAUCAUCCUCUACGUGCUUGAGUCAUUGUUUACUUUAACAGUCAAUGGACAGUGUUAUUGACAUGGGCUACACACCCUGUAUGUCCAAAAGUUUGUAGACACUUGCUCACCCAGCGCUUCCUCUGAAAUGAAAGGUGGCAACAGUGAGUUUGUCCCCCUGUGCUGCAGUAACAGCCUCUACCCUUCUAGGAAGGCUUUACACUAGAUGUUGAACAUUGCUGUGAGGUUUUGAUUGAGUAUUAGUGAGGUCAUGGAGCUUCAUCACUCCAGAGAACACAGUUCCACUGCUCCACAGCCGACGCUGGGGUCUUCAUACCCUUCUAGCUUGCAUGUGGCAUUGAGCAUGAUGACAUUAGGCUCAUGUGCAGCUGCUCCAGAGCGUCCCGUUCUAUUGGUCAAAGCGUUUAAAUGGAGAUUAUAUACCUGUGGCAGCAGUGGAUGUAGCUAAGCUGAACUCACUUUUACAGCAUUUGGCUGACGCUCUUAUCCAGAGUGACUUACAAUUUGAUCAAUUUACACAGGCAGACAAAGGUGGUGUUAGGAGUCUUGCCCAAGGACUCUUAUUGGUAUAGUGUAGGGUGUUUGCCCAGGUGGGGAUUGAACCCCAGUCAACAGCGUAGAAGGUGUUACCCUCUACACUAUCCCACUCACUGAUUAGGGUUAACUCACUUUUGGACAUGCAGUGUAUUUCGGAGCUGCAUUACAGACCAGCAAGUGCCUUUACAACAUUAAAAACACAAGCAGUGAAUAUCGUCAAACUCAAAACGUCUCCAGAAUAUGGAGAAUUGCUGCCAGUUAUUACUCAGUCACCAUCAGUUGACAUGCAUAGUUCAUAUCAGGUGAAUUAGACUGAAUGGUACUGAGUCCUGCUGGUGACAUCCCAUAUAAAUAGAUGUAACGAGAAAAUGAAGUCGUGGCCACAACUUAGUAAGGUGUGGGAGUGAGAUUCUAAUGCAUAGCCACAACUUAUGAAAUGAUCAAGCCAUGGCCACGACUUAUUAAAGCAUGGGAAUGAGAUCCUAAUGCGUGGCCACAACUGAGUAAGGUGUGGGAACGAGAUAAUUAAGUCGUGGACAUGACUUAAUAAGGCGUGGGAUCAAUUGAGCUUGACCACCCCAUGCCUAAUGGUCAAGGCUCAAUUAUCUCACUCCCACACCUCACUAAGAAUGAGAUAAUUAAGUCAUGGCCAUGACUUAAUAAGGCAUGGGAUCAAGAUCCUAAUGAGUGGCCACAACUUAGUAAGGUGUGGGAAUGAGAUAAUUAAGCCUGACCACCUCAUGCCUUAUUAAGUUAUGGUCAAGGCUUAAUUGUCUCACUCCCACACCUAAGUUGUGGCCACGUGUUAAUUUUCUUAUUCCCACACAUUCCUAAGUCAUGGGCACUUUUUCGGAUCGCGGUAAUGCAGCAUGGCCAUUCAUUUUUAUUUAUACGGGAUGUCACCAGCAGGGCUCCGGGGAACAGUGAGGGAACCGAGCGUCGUCUUCUGUAUCUCAAAGCCGGUUACUCAAGGACAGCAGCCGAAAUGCUUCACGCUGCACUUCUGGCCGACUAAUUGAACUCAAUUUGUAGCCCCACUUUAUUCAUCCAUCCAUUUUCUAAGCUGCUUCUCCCUCAGGGUCGUGGGAGCCUAUCCCAGCGGUCAUCGGGCGGAAGGCAGGACACACCCUGGACAGGCCGCCAGUCCACACCUAGGGGCAGUGCACGUCCAAUCGGCCUGACUGCAUGUCUUUGGACUGUGGGGGGAAACCGGAGAACCCGGAGGAAACCCACAUUUUAUUACGGAGUGUUUUAUUUUAGUGCUGUCUUAAUAUAAGUGGAUAAUAACAACCAGUGAGGUUAUUUUCGUUGAAGGCACUGCAAAAGUGGCAUCUCAGGUGAAAUCCUCUCUGAUCUAGUCAGCAUAUCAUCACUGUGCAAAGAAAACAUGCAUCUCCAUUUUUGUCCAUUUUUAUUGUUCUCCGUGGUUUGAACACACCGGCUGCCCUUUGCGUUACUUUUCAUGAUGACUAGUUGAAAUUCUUUGAAAUCGCUUUUAAUGAAGCCUCUUCGCAUCGACUUACAUUAGAAGUGAAGAAUGUUUGUGCCUGUCAGUGACGAUGUCUUAUAUUUCUCGUUAUCAGGUUGUUGUGAGAAUAGCAUUACGCAACCUAUUUCUAGACUUUGACAUUUAUUUUAUGUAAUAUUUUGGGGUUAAAUCAUCUUAUCUGACAAUUUUGCUCAUUUUCAAAAAUAAUGCCUAGAACAUGCAAAGCUAUCUGCAGGAGGAACCUUUACUUUUAAUGUAAGUCAAUGGAACCAGACGUCAUUUUUGGGCUGCUUGUUUUGGUCCAUUCAUCGUGAAAUUUACACACAAUGUAAAGAACAACAGGCACUUUCAAAUCAUGUCAAAUCCAAGGUUGUUUCACCGACAGCAGUGACCUGCAUUUCAUAAUGAUAUAUAUUAGACGUGUUGACAAGAUUUAAGAUCUUGUGCAGUGCAGUGUUUAUUGUCACUGCCUGUGAAUGGAGCUUUGUGAUGCCCUGUGAUAAUGUAAAUGUAAAUAAAGCAGCUGAUGUAGUCAUUUUUCUAAAAAAUGAAUUGCAUUUAAAUGAUUUAAAAUCAUGAGUGGUGUAAACGUUGGUGGAUUUGUGUGUAAACGUACUGUAAACGUGUGGAGAACACUCGAGUUUAUUAAAACUCUUGAGGCUCUU